rnacentral:lncRNA from 1 species
CAAAAAAGCUUUCUUAACUCAGGAGUUAGUAGCCAUGAGGCAUUUUACACUGUCACAAGACAUGUCGAGGUUGUUUGAGCUUGAUGUUUUUAGCUGUAAAAUCUGAUUAUUUGCUCUGCUAUUUUUCUGCACAUUGAAAUUAAUCUUGACCAUCUGUAACUCCGUAAUUUUUCUUCUUUUCCACUUUCAUACCUUUCAUAGACUGUAUUUACUUUUUCUAGCUUUCUUUUUCUCUCUGUUUUAGAACUUUAUUGCCAGCAGCCAACAGUCUUGUAACACUUCUACCCUAAUAGUGUUACAUAUUCUUUGACUCUAUCAAGAACACGUAAUGAAUCCCAAUAUUCUUCCCCAUACUCCACUGUUAAUGGAUGCAGUAGCAAAAAAUUUAAAUGAAACGAUAGUUUAUUUCCUUUGUUAAAGGAAUUGAUAAUGGUUGUCAGGGUUAAGGGAAUAUAGGCCAGUUUUUAUUGGAAGAGCUUAGCCCCUGAAAAUGCUUUUGUAGUUAUAUAGCAAGUGAAGAAAUAUUUUUUUUUUUUUUGUACUCUAGGAGUUCUCAAAACAAAAGCACAGACACUAGGUUGUUAUAGUAUUACGAGUCUUACUAAUUCCAUUUUCACUGGAUGAAUACAGGCUGAGGCUGGUUGAAGCUUGUUUGUGCAUCCAGGGUGAUAGCAAUGUUUAUAAUUAUGGAGAGCUCCUCGUAGAUCUGUUUAUUCUCUUUCAAACUUCUCCCUUCAUUGUCAGCGCAGGGAUGCGCUGAAGGUCCUUCAUAGCAGUGUGGUAGCUUGGCUCAGCUCUACAGUUCUUUCUGAACACUGAGUCUAUCAGGGCUUUGAGCAAGUGAUAGAAGUGUUGUAAGCAGGCUACAGUGAGAAAGUAGACUGAUUUGGGCACCUGUGUACUGCAUAACUGUAAAUUUUUUGCUGGGCCUGGAGCAGUUGCUUUAGCAAGCUGGAAGGGAUUGCAUGCCUCAGAUUAGAACCUAUUCUAUAAAUAUACGUCAUAUAUUUCUUAGUUUGCUGACAAAAUGAGCUUGGGACAAACCCUAUUCUUUCCAAAGUUUGUCUUGAGAAUAUCAUAUAGUAGAAAGGAAAUUUGAAAUUCAUCUUGCAAAGCAUGUUAGGUUACUCCUUUGUUUCCAGUUGCUAAUUUUUCUAUGCAAACUAGGUCAAUUAUUAAAAAAAACCAAGCAAGUGAGCACUGUUUGUUAACUGGGUUAAUUCAUUUGGUAUCUAGUAUAAUUCCUCAGUUCUUUUUGUUUCUCUUUUUAAAUACUGCUUUUAUUAGCUUCCAUAGAAGAAGCGUACAUUUAUGCUUAAUAUUUGAUAUUUUUGUUGAAUUUACAAGAGUCAAUUUUGUAUCCUGUAAGAUAAAGGUGAGAUACAAAAGCAAGAUACUAAGCCUCUAUGGAUCCAAUUUGUUAGAUAAACUACACAAAGCAUGUGAAUACAGGAAUCUUCUGUAGGGCGAGACCAUAGACUAGCAUGAGCCACAGCAGCAAAUCUGUGUUCUCUCCUUCAAAUAUCAUUAGCUGUAUAUAUCGAUACUUUUUCUAAAAUAGGUGUGCUGUACUGUUUGCUAUAGAUAGUAAUGUGACAGCUGGAAUGUUGUUCAUGCUGUUGAAAGUAUCUUGUGAAUCUCCCAUUUUUACCUAAAAAUAUGGGUAUGACUGUAUUGGAUGUAUAGAUACUCCGUUGUUGGAUGAUUUUACUUGAUUUUGGGUAAAGAACUUAAAAAUGCCUCUAACUCACAAUUAGUAGUUUUCUGUACUUCAUUCCUCUUCUGGACUUGGCAUGAAAUUUGAUGUAUAAAUUCCUUUGAUUAUAGUAUAUAUAAAACAUAGAAAGCUACUCCUAGACAACUAUAUUAAAAUGCAGACAGUAUUUUGCCCACAUGAUAUCUUCUUGCAGUUUUGGUAUAAUGACUGCAUUUUCUUAUGUGUGUGUGGAAAUUCUUGUCUUUCCUUUUCUCAUCUUUAGACAUGUGAAAAUUUCUCUGUGCGUUGCUUUUGCAAAAAGUAUGACAGGACCAUACUCUCUUCAUUGGGAAAUCGUUACAGAUUGAAGUGAAGAAAACUAGGAAAUUGUGGUAAAUUAUAUUCACUUCACAAGCAAGGAUAGGGAUGAAAAAAGCUUCUUUUUCUGAUAGAGGUUCAGCUAACUAGCCCUUGGAGAGGCCAAGUUAUUAACAUGCUAAUGAUUUUUUGUUAUUAUUCUAACCAAGUUAUAGCCAGCAAAAAAAUUGUCAGCAGUUGAUAGUCAAAAGAGUUUUUGAAUUACUAAGUGGAAAAUUGAAGACAAAUUGCUGUUUUACACUAGAGUGGGUCUUUGAUUUAAUGGUAUAUGCAAUCACUGAUUUUCCCAAAGAGAUAUUGAGUAUGAUACACUGCAAAAAGUAUUGUGCUAAUACAAAUAUAUUGUAUAAAGUAUACUCCUUUUUCAAAUAUGUUUUCUGGCAAGAUGCCAUCAUUGUAUUCUGUGGAUCACUUCAAUAUUACUUGAAAUUUACUCCAAAAGUGCAAUAAGAGGGAUGAAUGAUGCAACCUGAAUCUCAAAUGGCUCCCUUUUUCAGUAGAAUAAGAAGGAACCUAAAUAAUGAAUCAACCAACCAAACACUUGGUUACAGGGCAACUCAUGUCACAUUUGUAUCUGCAAGAUCUUCCUAUAAUGUAU